AUUGAACGCUGGCGGCAGGCCUAACACAUGCAAGUCGAGCGAGCGGCGGACGGGUGCGUAAUGUCUGGGAAACUGCCUGAUGGAGGGGGAUAACUACUGGAAACGGUAGCGAAUACCGCAUACCAUCAGAUGUGCCCAGAUGGGAUUAGAGAGUAGGUGGGGUAACGGCUCACCUAGGCGACGAGCCCUAGCUGGUAUGAGAGGAUGACCAGCCACCCGGGAACGGCGACACGGUUCAGACUCCUCCGGGAGGCAGCAGUGGGGAAUAUUGCACAAGGGGAGCAAGCCUGAUGCAGCCAUGCCGCGUGUGGGAAGAAGGCCUUCGGGUUGUAAAGCACUUUCAGCGGGGAGGCGUUACCCGCCGAGGAAGCACCGGCUAACUCCGUGCCAGCAGCCGCGGUAAUUC
rnacentral:rRNA from 1 species